rnacentral:lncRNA from 1 species
CGAAACUCUUACAGCCCCCAGGCUGCAGGGCAGGCAUUUGCUUCAAGUCCAAACAAACAGAUAGAGCUGCUCUGCUCUGGGCAUUGGUCUCUACAGUCACAGCAGCAUCUUGCUCUCAGGGUAAUCCCAAUCUAAACAACCAAUAUUUAAAAUGACAUAAAGCUUUUCUUGGGAGCCUGGAAAGUUUGCAGAAGACCUCACAUGGCCCUUCUUGAACGCUUCAGUUCUAUGCUCCCCUUCAUUUUGGGUCACAAACACUGUUCCUUUUCAAGAGCUGGCUUGGGAGACCGUUUGGAUUUGAUCCUGCUGGCCUGAUACUGCAUACUUGGCUGCCUGGGACUUCCUGGCUGUGCUGAUGACACUACACAGCAGGAGCAGAGAAGGCGUGGUGCUGAGAAGAGUCAAAAAGAACAGCUUACCUCCCAUUGACUUCAAAGGGAGCCUGGGGCUGGUGUGUGCAGCCGCAAAGUCCUGGAGGUGUGUUCAUCCAGCAAGUCUCGCCUCUGUUGAGAUUUAACUCUGUGCCUCGUGCUGAGCUAGAAGCUGAGGACCAGGGAAGAGCAGGACCCUCAUGGAACUUGUGGCUGGCGUGUUGUCGAGAGCUGGAACAUGCCACAACUUUGUAAUAUUGCUCUUCUACAUGGAUUUCCGUACACAGGGUCUCUAGGAGUCGGAACCAACUUGACAGCACUAACCACAAAAGCAUGGAUUUCUAUAUUCUAUCAUUCUUCUCAAGUAAAGCUUGGAUCUGCUCCUUUCCCUUUGAACACUGAGGGCUCCGUCUCCAAGUUCCUUUGCUAGAAGGCAUAUUAUGAAACGGGAUGUAUCGUCAGAGACGCAGUCGAAGACGGUGGCUGCAGGAGAAAUAUCAACGCUUUAUUUGCAGACUGUAAAGCCUGACAUUCUGAUAAAAAAGUGGGACCCAAUGAAGCAGAACUGCCAUGUAAACAUUAAGUGAGAUAAUUUAUGGAGAGUAUAAGGGUUUCCUGAGUUUUCUCUCAUCACAGUCAUAUGAGCCACAUGUUAUCUCCAUUUUACAGACUGGGGAAACUGAGGCCAUACAACCAAUAGGAAGUGGAACCCAGGGCUGCUGUGUUUCACAUCUCCAGGCAGCACCAUUGGAUAUCAUUGUCUACGUGGAUAGUGCCCCUGGAACUGGGCAGUACACAGCCUGCACAGCCCCAUUCAGUGACCCCAUUUCAACAAUAUCUACUGGGGACAGACAGGUUGUGAGCAAGGCCUGGACCCUGUACCUGUCCCAGGGGUGCUUACAUCGUGGAAGAUCUGGCAGAAUACUCUCAGCCCUCAGGUGAAUCAUAGAGCAGAGAAGUUGAGAGCACAGAUGCUGGAGUCAGACUGCAUGAGAAAACCUGACUGUGCCAUUCAUUAGCCAAGCAGCAAUACACGUCUCUCGGUGUUUCUGUGACUCCGUCUCCUCAUCUAUACAAUGGGG